rnacentral:lncRNA from 1 species
CAGUCGACAUCAACUAUUAAUUGGGCUUGACACUAGUAAACACUUCACAACUCUAGUGCACACUUUAAAGGUUCUAAAUGUACAGUGAAUACGAAUGCCUCUAUCUAGAGGAAAGGCAGUCAAUAAGUAAUUACUUCAAAUAAAAGUUUUUAAACCUAAAAAAAACAAAUUCUGGUGUAAAAGUAAAAAUACAGAUAAGAAAAAAAAUUAUAACUAUUAUUUCAAAGGCUUUGAUAAAUCAUCUGAACAGGUUUCAUGUAGAACUGUGGGAUUGCUAAAUUAUUUAUUACUGUCACUCGAUUGUCUGUUUGGUUUCCUACACCUACAAUUAGAAUCUAUGGAUCUGCUUCAUGACAAGGGUAAUUUUUAUGAAUUUCUACAGCUUCAGUUUCACCAUUUGUUACAUUUUAAACAAUGCUAUAAGUAUCAAGGAUAAAUUCAUCUAACUCAUAUACAAACAGGAAGACUUUUCACAGCUAACCAUCAAUACAUGGUUAGGCAACAUCUUGUUAUCUAAGUGUCAGAAUCACUAAUUUAUAAAAACUUUUAACAGAUGCUUAACUAAUAUUUCAUGUAGAAACUUUUUUUGAUUAAUUUACUGCAAAGUUGUACCAGUCUCAUGUUGGUGUAGUAGAUUCUCCAUUAAGGACAAUACCUUGUGCUCCAACCACACUACUCUCAUGUGGAAGUGGCUGAUGUUUUAAAGGCAAUUUCCUAGAUUGUAGUAAUAAUUUAGCAAGGAAUAUGCACUAUCAAAGAAAAACAACAACCUACCUAUCUUUUAACUUUCAAACAGUUUUAAUGCAAAUGUUUCAUAAUACGAGGAAAUAGAUUACUACAGUGGAAUGAUCAUGCAACCUGAAUCUAACAAGUACUUAUUGUGAAAACUUACCUAGACCAUGAGGGCAUAGAUAGGUCAAGUCAGAAAUUGGUUGAAGGCAUGUAGUAGAUACAGAUUAUGAAAAGAUUCACGAAUAAUAAUGUCACAAAUGCUGUGUCCAUGCAACAUCAAAACACUCAUAAUCAUAAAGCUUCACUAUAUUCUACAGCUCACAACAUGGUGUCUUGUGCAGCCUUACAUCCUUAGUGUGAGCUACCACAGAGGAUAAGUUAGUCAAAACCAAGUGGUGGAGAUGAUGUGGUCACUACUAUGGGAAAAGGGCUGUAUAUCCUCUAUCCACACACCAUUAUGAAGGGAAAAAAAAAAUAAAUAAAUAGUGUGGUGAUGCCUACAGAAAACUCCACUCUUUAUAUCAAUAUUAGUAAUACAAUACACCACGACACCAUCACAAGUGAGCUCUCUUGCUUAUAUCAGAAUUAAAAUCACAAUUAACACCAUGACACGGCUCUGCUCUUUUACCGGAACUACAUUAACCUGACACUCGCCCAACACAAAGAGCCAGGCCUACUUGUUCGCUACUUCUAGUAAUACUCAAAUCCCAGUCUUUUGUUGUCUGACUAAACACAAUCAAAAUAAAAAAAGUUUAUACACUAAAAACUUGGCUUAAAUCACAACCACGGACCACCACCUGUAUUCUUCACCACGAGUGCUACAAUCACCACAAUAAUUCCUCUUACCCACGAGCAAGUGUUAUCAAUUACACUUGUCAAAAUCAUUAAGUUGAAGUUGACACCAUGACACUAUCAACUAGACUGUUUUAUAGCUUAAAUAAUGACUAAUCACCAGUCAUAUUUCCUAAUAUGACCAAAGUGACAGUCACCAUUUAUUUCUUCCUGAUCGACACACACAAACAAAAUCAGACUCUGAAUAAACAAUUUUGCACGAUGACGAACAACGAGACUGUCCUAAAAGCUUAAACCACAACCAGAGAUCACCAGUUCUACCCUUCACCAACACUGCGAGCACAGUACCCUUUCGGCUUCACACGAACACAGUGACAGUCAUUUUCACUUGUCUUUUCCUGCUGCCCGCCACACACCCGUCCUACUGCAGGGUAGCGGAGACACCGUCGGCUGCCUACCACUGGAAAGGACUUACUGGUCUGUCUCCUCCUCCACUAGGAUGAAGCCUCGGGAUGCAACCUCCUCUUCAUUGAGCUCCCCGUAUAUAUCAUGCGCCCACAGUUGGAAGAAAUUGUACAACUCAUCCGACCUAGACAAAAUAAUAAGAAAUAAAAAAACACCAUAAAUUUCUAAGGACUCAUUUUGUCUAAGUAUAUCGAGUUUUCUGUCUAGUUACCACAUCAUGAUGUAGUGACCAUACUAGUUUUCUUUGUUUAUUUCCUAAAGUUAUGUGAAAAAGAAAGGCUGCAAUAGAUUGGAAGUGGUAAAAAGAACAGCUUAGAAGUAUGUGAGUCCUCUUUCACUACAUGAGAGAUGCAUGACAUUCAAGGACAGACAAAAUCUUUGUAUAGUCAUCCUCAGUUAGAGAGAGAGGGAGGGAAAAAAAAUAAAUAAAAAAAUAAAAAAUAAUGCAGAAAUCCUAACUUUAUGGAAGCAGAUUUCUAUCAUAAAUAUUACAUAGUAAUAUUUUUAGAUAAAAGGCUCUUGAAAUAUUCAGUGUAAAAAAAAUAAGUUCAAGAUCUUUUAAACUAAAGGAAUAAUUUUUAAAAAUGUGUCGAGCACAUAAAUAAAAGAAUUGAGUUUUCUGACAUUAAAGAUGAUUCAUGAAGUUUAUCCUAUUUUGCUCAGAAAAUGGUCUGGUCAGUAGAGAAGCCUAUUCCUGUGAACUCCCUUCCCAAGCAGCUUGUUUUCUCUCUCUCUCUCUCUCUCUCUCUCUCUCUCUCUCUCUCUCUCUCUCUCUCUCUCUCUCUCUCUCUCUCUCUCUCUCUCUCUCUCUCUCUCUCUCUCUCUCUCUCUCUCUCUCUCUCUCCAGUGGAUUGUCAUUUCAUAUUUCCAACAUUCAUUCUGUUCGUUUCUCACUGAAAGCAAAAGCUACUGCUCACUGCAAUGGUGUAGUAACUGAAACCAUCAAACUCAGAACA